UUAUAACCGGAACUAGUUUUAAGAUAUAAAUUACUAAAUACUAAACUCUCAAUUAUUUUAUUUGUUAAAAUAAGAAUUAAUUAAAGCAAGUAAAUUUAUUUUUCAUCAUGAACAUCGUUCUGUGCCUUUCCCUGAUUUUAAUAGGAGUCUGUGUGUCUCUAGCACAACCAGUCGAUGAUCUAUGCCCACCUGACUCAAUCGUUCAGUGUUACGUAGAUCCAUGUUUAGGGCGGAGGUGUCCUCGCUAUCCACAAGCCGAGUGUAUAGCAACUUAUUGUUUUAGAUGUUCGUUCCGUUUUUCCUUAAAUGGGAUGCCAGUCAAAUGUUAUGACGGCCCGGGUCCUCCACAAGGUCCUUGAAAUGGCACGUAUUGGGUAAAACAAACAAAAAUAACGCCGAAAAUAUCCCCAUAAUUUUUUUUGAUAAAUAAUUAUAUUUGCACAGUACCUUUUCGUUAAAUAACUCAUUUAUACUAUAUCAAAGAUUUUAUUUGGAAUUGUCACUAUUUUCAUUAUACCACUUGGAAUUGUCACUAUUUUCAUUAUACCACUAUUUCAAAGAUUUUAUUUGGAAUUGUCACUAUUUUUAUUAUACCUCUUGGAAUUGUCACUAUUUUCAUUGUACCACUAUUUCAAAGAUUUUAUUUGGAAUUGUCACUAUUUUCAUUAUACCACUUGUAAAAUCACAUUUAUUAUUAUUUAAGAAAAAAUGCUAUAAAAAUAAAACUGCUUUCGCUUA